GUGAACCAUACCAAACUGUUGCCUCGGCGGGGUCACGCCCCGGGUGCGUCGCAGCCCCGGAACCAGGCGCCCGCCGGAGGGACCAACCAAACUCUUUCUGUAGUCCCCUCGCGGACGUUAUUUCUUACAGCUCUGAGCAAAAAUUCAAAAUGAAUCAAAACUUUCAACAACGGAUCUCUUGGUUCUGGCAUCGAUGAAGAACGCAGCGAAAUGCGAUAAGUAAUGUGAAUUGCAGAAUUCAGUGAAUCAUCGAAUCUUUGAACGCACAUUGCGCCCGCCAGUAUUCUGGCGGGCAUGCCUGUCCGAGCGUCAUUUCAACCCUCGAACCCCUCCGGGGGGUCGGCGUUGGGGAUCGGGAACCCCUAAGACGGGAUCCCGGCCCCGAAAUACAGUGGCGGUCUCGCCGCAGCCUCUCCUGCGCAGUAGUUUGCACAACUCGCACCGGGAGCGCGGCGCGUCCACGUCCGUAAAACACCCAACUUCUGAAAUGUUGACCUCGGAUCAGGUAGGAAUACCCGCUGAACUUAAGCAUAUCAAUAAGCGGAGG
rnacentral:rRNA from 2 species